rnacentral:lncRNA from 1 species
UUUUUUUUCUGUUUAUAAGUAGUAGAUAUGCAAGUUACUUAUUAGGAUUUUUUUUUUGUUAAGUACAUAUCGUCACAAUGUUUAAAUUGGGAAUUUUGAUUUAGUCGGACAUGCUCGUGGAUAUCAUCUCCUAUAAUAAGUAUGUACGUAAUAUCUAACAUAAAUAAAUUUCUGCGUCAAACAUGGUUGUGAAUAGUUCCCAACUCGUUUGCAAGCCCAUCAUAUAUAGUAGUAAUUAUUAUUUUUAAAAAAAUCAGCUUGUUGGAGUAGAUAAGCACUUAAUCUAUAUGAAAAAAAAAAAAAA